rnacentral:rRNA from 1 species
GACGAACGCUGGCGGCGUGCCUAAUACAUGCAAGUUGAGCGCUGAAGGUUGGUACUUGUACCAACUGGAUGAGCAGCGAACGGGUGAGUAACGCGUGGGGAAUCUGCCUUUGAGCGGGGGACAACAUUUGGAAACGAAUGCUAAUACCGCAUAAAAACUUUAAACACAAGUUUUAAGUUUGAAAGAUGCAAUUGCAUCACUCAAAGAUGAUCCCGCGUUGUAUUAGCUAGUUGGUGAGGUAAAGGCUCACCAAGGCGAUGAUACAUAGCCGACCUGUGAGGGUGACUGGCAACAGUGGGACUGAGAAACGGCCCAAACUCCUACGAGAGGCAGCAGUAGGGAAUCUUCGGAAGUGGAUGAAAAUCUGACCGAGCAACGCCGCGUGAGUGAAGAAGGUUUUCGGAUCGUAAAACUCUGUUGGUAGAGAAGAACGUUGGUGAGAGUGGAAAGCUCAUCAAGUGACGGUAACUACCCAGAAAGGGACGGCUAACUACGUG